AAAAAGUAAUCUUUGCAUGAUUUGAGAAGGAGAGAGAAUGCAAAUGUUUCAUGGCCUUGACACGUUUGGGCACCGUAACCAAAACAGCAUGAAACUCGCGUUGAGGUGGGGAGGUUUCAUCUCGUCGAUCCCAUGCGGGCGAAACUCCGACGCGCGCUCCUCGGCCUUCUUCCUGCCUCUUCCCGCGCCACUUCUACCUCCGCCCUUUCCCUUUUGAUUCGUGCGUGUAGUCUGAACUAGAGCAGAGCGGAUCCAGCGCUGAGAGGUCUGGGCGGCAUGGUAGAGGAUGGAUCCACCGCCGGGAGCUCCGGGCGGCGCUGCAUCUAGCAGAGUAGCAAAGGGACACAGGGGCAGUCGGCUAGGACUCAAGAAGGCGCCGUCGCAUGCGUCGUCGCUGCCAGUUCCGCGGCCGGUGAUUUCCGCUGCCGGGGCUGACCCAACGGUACCGCGAGGAGGAUGGACACCGCAGCAAGCACCAAAUUCAUGGUAGUUGAUUUUGGUGUGUGUGUUUGCCUGGUUGUCGAUCUGAAUGCAAGUGCUUGCCUGCAACUAGCUGAGUUUAAUUCUGAAUGCAAGUGCUUGCCUGCAGCUAAUCUGGUAGGGUUGCGAUAGCAGACAAGUCUAAGUCUAGGAGCAUGAUCUGGUUUCGGUUGCUGCAUAUUCUGAUUUCUGACGAUGACGUGUCCACUGUAUGUUCCUGAUGGUUUUCCUCUAAUUAGAAGUAGCCAUUUUGUUAAUGAUCUUGGCAUCCUAGUUAUGCGAAAUUGCAGGUUCUGUUGGGUGCGUGUGCACCUGACGCCGGAUGAGAAAUGGCUACAGGAUUACAUGAGUACAUAUAAUCCCAACAAGCUGUAUCAUUUAAAUACUUUGUUUGGUCUUGGAAACGUCAAAGUGAAACUCUUGCAUUGUUGGGAUUAUUUCAUAGAUAGUUUCAUUUGAGUGUUGAUGACAUGUUAA